rnacentral:lncRNA from 1 species
ACUCACCUACAAUUACCUCACACUCACGCUUUCUCAAGGAAUACUCCUCUCUCAUCUCACAAAAGGACACGUCUUCUCUUCUUUCCCACCCUUUCACUCACGAAAAGAAAAAGGAGACACCACCUACCUCACUCCACUCACCCAAGAAAAACAAAAACGAAAAAGAAAAAAAGGAAAAGUUGUUCAGCUUUCUUCCUCACCUUCACACCCUCAACGUCACCCCCCGCUCAAUCCUCCGCACCUCCGUCAUACUCC